CCAACCAAGACCAACCCAGAUAAGAUGACCAAGAAUCCCUUCAAGGGUAGCCGGGAAUUUUCUCCAGCUGGUGGGUCUACAUCCAAGAGCGGGGUGUAAUGGUCAGGGACGGUGGCGGCGAUGAUGGGAUCCUCCGGAUCGGCGAAGGUGCGGGCAGGGUUGGGGUCUGCCAUGGUUGUUUUGCAGGUAGGAGAGGAAUGAAGGUGACCGAAAUGGGUUGUGCAGAGGCGUUUAUGUGGGUGUUUUAGAGAGAGAAAGGAGAGAGAGGUGAGUUGGAAUUGGAAUUUGUCGGAUGACAGAGCGUGUGUCUGUUAGAGAGGGAGAGAGGGAGGAAGGGAGGAAGGGAGGAAGGAAGAAAGAUUUCAGUUUGUAUGUGUGUGUUUGUGAUUUGGUAUUAAUGUGGAGUUAUGCAUGGCGGGUCUCCGGGCGAGGUCUUUCGAGAGAUGUUAGGUUGAAUGGUUUGUCUGGCUUCGCUGACAAGGAGAGAGAAAAUUUCCCUGAAAAACAGUACGUUGUCUGUUUCAACACGAGACGUAACUCAAGUCCGACUUGUUGUACACUUUGGUUCGAUGCCUUCUGUCAAUUUACCAUUGGUUGUACCACUGAUAUUACAUUAUUUUAGAUAACCAUUUUGGCA
rnacentral:lncRNA from 1 species